rnacentral:piRNA from 1 species
UGAUAGGCAAAUCAAAUGCAAAAUAUGGU